rnacentral:rRNA from 1 species
UACGGGGGGGGGCAAGCGUUGUUCGGAAUUACUGGGCGUAAAGGGCGCGUAGGCGCCUUCUAAGUCAGACGUGAAAUCCCUCGGCUCAACCGAGGAACUGCGUCUGAUACUGGAAGGCUUGAAUCCGGGAGAGGGAUGUGGAAUUCCAGGUGUAGCGGUGAAAUGCGUAGAUAUCUGGAGGAACACCGGUGGCGAAGGCGGCAUCCUGGACCGGUAUUGACGCUGAGGCGCGAAAGCUAGGGGAGCAACGGG